CCUACGGGAGGCAGCAGUGAGGAAUAUUGGUCAAUGGCCGGAAGGCUGAACCAGCCAUGCCGCGUGAAGGUCAGUGCCCUAUGGGCGUUAAACUUCUUUUGUGCGGGAGCAAUAAUGGUCACGUGUGGCCAGACGAGAGUACCGUACGAAUAAGCAUCGGCUAACUCCGUGCCAGCAGCCGCGGUAAUACGGGGGGUGCAAGCGUUAUCCGGAUUUAUUGGGUUUAAAGGGUGCGUAGGCUGUGAGGUAAGUCAGCGGUGAAAUGCCCCCGCUCAACGGGGUGAAGUGCCAUUGAUACUGCCUGGCUGGAAUGCGGAUGCGGGAGGAGGAAUGUGUGGUGUAGCGGUGAAAUGCAUAGAUAUCACACAGAACACCGAUUGCGAAGGCAUCUCACGAAUCCGCGAUUGACGCUGAUGCACGAAAGCGUGGGUAUCAAACAGGAUUAGAUACCCUUGUAGUC
rnacentral:rRNA from 1 species